rnacentral:rRNA from 1 species
CACGUAGGGCGCAAGCGUUGUCCGGAAUUAUUGGGCGUAAAGAGCUCGUAGGCGGUCUGUUGCGUCCGCUGUGAAAACUCGGGGGCUUAACCCCCGAGCCUGCAGUGGAUACGGGGCAGACUAGAGGUAGGUAGGGGGAGAAUGGAAUUCCCGGUGUAGCGGUGAAAAUGCGCAGAUAUCGGGAGGAACACCGGUGGCGAAGGCGGUUCUCUGGGCCUU